CCUACGGGGUGCAGCAGUGGGGAAUUUUGCGCAAUGCUCGUAAGAGUGACGCAGCGACGCCGCGUGAAUGACGAAGGCCUUCGGGUCGUAAAGUUCUUUCGACAGGGAAGAAAAUGCCUAUAAGUAACUGUGUAUGUAUUGACGGUACCUGUAUAAGCAGCCCCGGCUAACUCCGUGCCAGCAGCCGCGGUAAUACGGAGGGGGCGAGCGUUGUUCGGAGGGACUGGGCGUAAAGAGCACGUAGGCGGUGUUGUAAGUCAUUAGUCAAAGACUAGAGCUCAACUUUAGUAAGGCUAGUGAUACUAUAAUACUAGAGUAUCAGAGAGGAUUGCAGAAUUCCUGGUGUAGCGGUGAAAUGCGUAGAUAUCAGGAGGAAUACCGUUAGCGAAGGCGGCAAUCUGGCUGGAAACUGACGCUGAGGUGCGAAAGCGUGGGUAGCAAACAGGAUUAGAUACCCCUGUAGUC
rnacentral:rRNA from 1 species